CACCCUCGUGCAGCCUCAGGUCGCGUGCUGACGGGUCUUCUGUGACGCACUCCCACACCUGCCUCCCUGGACACCCACACAGCCGCCACCCCACCCAGGCCACCGUCAUCUGCCACUGUAACCGGCGCCGGCAGCCUCGUACUGUGCUCGCCAGGAGAGGCUGCUCCCCAGCACGUGCCCAGGACAGCCCCUCCCUGGCUGGUCCCGAGGUCCCCAAGGCCCCCACUCCGGGCUGCCCGCCCCCUGCGCCCACACCUGGGUGCACACGCACGCGCACGCACACACGUGCACGCCCGCAUCGCCGGUGCUGGGCGUCUCACCCGGUCUUCACUCGCACCUCAGUAGCGCCUGGGUACUCACCUUUCUCUCCAGUAGAACCCCGCUUCCAGCUGACUCCCAGUAGAGCUGAAGCUGGAGCCGUGGGCGCUGCCAGGCCUGGGCAGGCUGCAGGGAGGCGUGCAGUGGAGACACUGGAUGUGUGCAGGCCAAGACACACAGAGCCACCAAGUAGAUUGUCCGACAUGUGCAGGAAGCUGCAGACCACCAUAGAGGAAAACAUGGGACCCGAGAACGAGACAAGCCUGGCACGGUGGCCCAUGCCUGUGAUCCCAGCACUUGGGAGGCUGAGGCAGGAGGAUCACCACGAGUUCAAGGCCAGCCUGGGCUACACAGUGAGGUCAAGGCCAGCCUGGACUACAAAGUGAGACCUUGUCUCAAAAAACUAUAAAACAGGGCCGGG
rnacentral:lncRNA from 1 species